ACACGUCCGCAACUGUGGUCCGCAGAUGUUCCUGAUCAGCCGCAAGGGCGGCACUCUGUUGACCAUCAACAACUUUGUGUACCGCUCCAAUCUUAAGUUCUUCGGCAAGAGCAAUAAUAUCCUGUACUGGGAGUGCGUCCAAAACCGAUCGGUUAAGUGCCGCAGUCGCUUAAAGACCAUCGGCGAUGAUCUCUAUGUAACCAAUGAUGUGCACAAUCACAUGGGCGACAACAAGCGUAUUGAGGCGGCCAAGGCGGCUGGGAUGUUGAUCCACAAGAAGUUGAGUUCCCUCACAGCCGCCGACAAAAUCCAGGGUUCCUGGAAAAUGGACACCGAGGGCAACCCAGACCAGCUGCCCAAGAUUUAGCCGCUUCCUAGACAUUCCCAACCUAAACGUCCGAGUUCUGUUAGGGCUAAGCUAAUGUAUUCUACUAUUGUUCUUGAGCGUAUAUCAUUGAUUUAGACUGAGUGUCCCGAGCCUAGUUAGGAUGGACGCUUUUGGCCACGGCACUGACUUAAACAAUGGCUUGUGUUACGUACAAAAUAUGAACUCUUAAUAAAAUCAGAUGAACAUCUAAACGAAUUGCAAUUA
rnacentral:misc_RNA from 1 species